CAAGGAAUUUUCCGCAAUGGGCGCAAGCCUGACGGAGCAACGCCGCGUGCAGGACGACGGCCUUCGGGUUGUAAACUGCUUUUCGGCGGGACGAUGAUGACGGUACCGCCGGAAGAAGCCCCGGCUAACUCCGUGCCAGCAGCCGCGGUAAGACGGAGGGGGCAAGCGUUGUUCGGAUUUACUGGGCGUAAAGGGCGCGUAGGCGGGGUAUCCAGUUAGGGGUGAAAGCCCGGGGCUCAACCUCGGAACUGCCUUUAAAACUGAUACUCUAGAGUCCGGAAGAGGGUCGCGGAAUUCCCAGUGUAGAGGUGAAAUUCGUAGAUAUUGGGAAGAACACCGGUGGCGAAGGCGGCGACCUGGUCCGGUACUGACGCUGAGGCGCGAAAGCGUGGGGAGCAAACAGGAUUAGAUACCCCUGUAGUCC
rnacentral:rRNA from 1 species